UACGAGGGGAGCAAGCGUUGUUCGGAUUUACUGGGCGUAAAGGGCGCGUAGGCGGCCACGACAAGUCACUUGUGAAAUCUCCGGGCUUAACUCGGAACGGUCAACUGAUACUGCUCGGCUAGAGUGCGGAAGGGGCAACUGGAAUUCUUGGUGUAGCGGUGAAAUGCGUAGAUAUCAAGAGGAACACCUGCGGCGAAGGCGGGUUGCUGGGCCGACACUGACGCUGAAGUGCGAAAGCCAGGGGGGCGAACGGG
rnacentral:rRNA from 1 species